AUUGAACGCUGGCGGCAUGCCUUACACAUGCAAGUCGAACGGUAACGGGCCUUCGGGUGCCGACGAGUGGCGGACGGGCGAGUAAUACAUCCGAACGUGCCCGACCGUGGGGGAUAACGAGGCGCAAGCUUUGCUAAUCCCGCAUACGAUCUACGGCUGACAUCAGGGGGCCGCAAGGCCUUGCGCGGACGGAGCGGCCGCUGGCAGCGUAGGUAGAUGGUGGGAGUAAAGCUUAGCAGGCCGACGAUCUGUAGCUGGUCCGGGAGGAGGAUGAGCCACACUGGGACUGGGCCACGGCCCAGACUCCUGCGGGAGGGAGCAGUCGGGAAUUUUGGACAAUGGGCGCAAGCCUGAUCCAACCAUGGCGCGUGCAGGAUGAAGGCCUUCGGGUUGUAAACUGCUUUUGUACGGAACGAAAAGCCUUCUUUUAAUACAGGAGGAUCAUGACGGUACCGGAAGAAUAAGCACCGGCUAACUACGUG
rnacentral:rRNA from 1 species